CUACCUAACUUAUCUUCCAGCAAAUUUAGUGUUUCUGUCUUAAUUUAGAUCUUUAAUCCACUUUGAUCUUUGUUUAGUGCAUGGUGAUAGAUAUGGUCUAGUUUUAAUCUUUGGCAGGUUGAAAUCCAGUAAAACUUGGUACUUUUUAAAUAAUGCUUUCCAGGAACGGUGUGCCUUCAAAAAUCAAGUGCUUAUGGAUUGGUCUUCAGUGUUUAAAAUGCUUGAGCUACUAGUUUUAAAAUAUAGUUGAGGUGCCAGGCCUGUUGGUGCACACCUACAAUCCCAAAACUCAGGAGGCUGAAGCAGGAGAAUCCCUGCAGAUUCAAGGCCAGCUUGGACUACAUAGUGGGACCUGUCUCAAAAGAACAACAACGAAAAUGUCCCGGCCCAGCCUGAGUUCCUGCUGUCGGGCUCUGGCUCCCUGAGGCUUCCAGUUCCGAAGUUCUGCUGGCCUGAAUGCAGGCUCUUACCUGGUGGACGCCGAGCUCAGCAUGACGAGAGAGGAGCUAACAGGAAGUGGGGAAAGCUGAAGCUUUGAAGCACACACAUUGCGAAGGACUGUUCGCAUGUUUCACGGUGUAAGUUACGUGCUUUACUUUUCUAAUGUUUUCUAACGUGGUAGACAGUUUAAAAAUCUCUUCAUGAAGAUAAUUUGAAUAACUGGAUGUUUUGCUUCUCGUUCUGUGUUCAAGGCAUAAGAUAGAUAUUAUAAGUCUGAAUGGGAAGCAUACUGUAAAAUGUCGCCCCCCCCCCCCGUAACUCCUGAGAUUGAAUUUCUUUUGAAAAUUAUUUUAGUGGUUGUGACAUAAUUUAAAUACUCCUUUUUUUUUUUUAGCUACUUGCAAUUUUCCCUCAUCUUAAGACUUGUGGCGUAUUCGGUCAAUUCACUUAGGCUGAUUUUUGAAAAUUCCUACACUGAUUGGGGUCUGGUUGGUGUGACCCUAGGCUCGCCUCUGUCCAAGCAACCAGAAUGAAUUCUCCAGCUCUGCUAGGUUUUGAUUUUAUAGAAAACAAUGACACUUUUACUGAAUCCAGUUCCAUGUGUGACAAAGUAAUCUUGACAGGUUCCAAGGGACAUGUGAGUGUAGUCAGUGGUUUUCCUGUCAAAGCCUAGUAUUUCUCCUCCACUGAGCGGCUUAUAAAUUCUAGUAGAGGGUUGAAGGGGUCUUUUGCCCUUGAAAGCAGAGUUUCCGUGUCUGUUUCCAGCAGCUGAAUGGCACCUCACCGAGUUCCCCCUGAUGAGUAGGCACUUUGGCCCGCAGGGUCUAGCAGUGGGGUUGUACCCAGCCUUCACUGUCACCUGGGUCUUAAACGGACCGAGCCCUGCUCAGUGUUGCCAUGGUGACGGUUGACGGCAGGGCGGCUCUGCGUAGCUGCUCUCCCCUGAGGUGGGACGCGGGGUACCCUGCACUCUGCAUUUCUUUCCAGGCCUGAAAUCGUGUCGAUGACAGUGGUUACCUGGGAAAUCAGCGGACGCUACAGAAUCCUUUUUCCCUUCCAGUUGGACGCUGGCACCUGGCUGGGUGUUACUCAGACUGCAGUCUGUUGUCACAGGUUGGACACAGGCUGCUCUGGGUAAAAGGUGUCUGAUACCUGGUACAUGUGUGAUAACAACUUACACUGUAGAAGUUUUGUAAAAGCUUUAUAAGUGUUUAUCAAACUUCGAUUCUGGAAACUUCAAUUCUGGUGUGGUGGUGCUCGCCUGUAAUCCCAGCACUCAGGAGGCUGAGGCAGGAGGAUUGAAGUGAGUUCAAGGCCAGCCUGGCUACAUAGCAGGGACCCAGUCAACAAACAAACGAAUGAGACUGAAUCUGUAAAUACUGUGGAUUUCACUUUUAAAAAUUUAAAGUGGUCUUGUUGCUGACUCCAGCUGUGUGUGACCCGUGCUGUGUAGGAAAGUGGGGAGAGCAGAGUAAGAGUCUCACAAAGGUGAAAGUUCACCUCUUAAGCAGUGAAAAUUAAAUGUGACAGGCCCAGCAUUCUAAACCAGAAGUAAAAAAAUAACAUUCAUGAAUUUUGUCUCCACCGUAGUUUGGGCUGCUGUAAGAAAUGACCACUGACCUGGUGGUUUAAAUGACAGUCACUUAUUCCUCACAGUGUUGUGGAGCUGGGAAUGCCAGGAUGCUGGUCCCUGGGGUAGGCGACUGACAGAGCGUGUUUCCGGGUUGCAGGCGGCCCUCCCAGCUGGAUUUUCAUGUAGGGCAGAGGUCAUCCACCUACCAGUGAUCCCAGGCCUCUAAUCCCAUCAUUCGGGGAGGCGGAGGCAGGAGAAUUGCAAGUUUGAGCUCAGCCUCUGAGCAUUUAGUGACAGCAAGAUCCUGUCCCAGUUUUUAAAAACUGACUAAAAAGGGCUGGGGAUGUAGCUCAGUGAGAAAGCCCUGGCCUCCAUCCCUAGUAACACACACACACACGGCACAAAAUUCCCCGUCGGCAUAGCCUGUGCCCCCACGUGGCUUCUGUACCAGAAAAGGUCUACGUCGCUUUCUUCCAUUUUCAGGGAAGCUGGGGAAAGCGGGCGUCCCCAGUAUUUACUUCACCUGGGGCACAGAUUGCCCCUCGCUGUGGGGGAAUGUACCUCACAGGUGCCUGGGCAUGUGUAGGAGGAAGGUCACAGGGCCGAGGCCCCUGCCUUCCCUUUCCCCAGCCUUGCAGAUGCCAGGCCCGGCUCUACCUGCUCACCAUGAGCUGCCUAGGAGGGUGCCGUUCUUCCUGCAGGGCCAGGCCAGGCUGCCACAGACACUGCCUGCUUAACGACCUCUGACUUCCAACCCAUCUGUUUUUGUACAGUUCUGCGUGUCUUACUGAUGGGCUCUCAGUGUCUUUUGUGCAGUGUACCUUGUUGAUACAGUACUGUAAUCUUUGCUGAUUGUACUGUGCAGUACUAUAGUUUUCUGUUCUGUUAUACAUUACAGUACUGCAUGUAACAGUUAUGCAAAUAAAGCCAAGUCAUUAGGUUGGAAUUUCCUUUGAUCGCAUCAUGUCUUUGUUCUGAAUACUGUAAUGUGCAUACUGUAUACAAGUCCUCAUUUGGUGACCAAUUUACCUAAGCAGCCAUGGACGGCGCAGAAAGAGCCAGGCAUAGCAGAGUUCCAGUGGAGCUUUAUUUACAAACGCGGAUGUCCUGUCAGAUUCGGCCCUCGGGUUGGAGUUUGUGGAGCCCCUGCCCUAGAUGAUCCUACUUCCAGCCUCAGCUGUGUCUGACUCCAACCAAGCCCUGCACAACGUCCAGGGCAGACUGUGGCUGUCAGGGGAGGCGGCGAGUGGCUGCAGGCUGCAUUCCACAGAACAGCCCUUCCCCUCCCUCGCUCGAGAGUCUCAGUGUCCCGGCUCCCUGGGAAUGACCUCAGUAACCCUGGAAACCAAAGUGCCCCAAAAGUUUGGAGAAGCCCGGUCCAAAGAUCCCUGCUGUACUGAAGAGCGUCACAGCUGGGUGGACUGGCUUGGGGCUGCUGCCCAGUUUCUGCUUUCUUGCUCUGUGAAUCUGCGGUCCUCCAGGAGCCAGGCAGGGCUCUGGGGUUAGGGGAUGCCAGCAGCAGGCCUAGGAGCGGGGCGGGGCUGGCUGUGAAUCAGCCGCUCAGCCAUUCAGCCCGGGGCUGUGCCAUUGAGGCUUUGGGAAUAUGAACACAGGCUCGGUCCAGUUUAUCCCGGGUCCUGCAUGAGCUUCCCGUGUCCAGCCCGACCUGUGCAUGCGUGGGAAGACUGCUUACCAUUCCCGAACCCUGCUAAACCCAUCUGAAUAGAGACAAAGUACUUGUUGGGGCAUGGUUUUCCGGGGGGGGGGGUGUUGUGUUUUUUUUUUUAGUACCAGGGAUCGAACUCGGGUUCUUGCACUUGUGCAGCAGGCAGAGAAACCACUGAGCUAAAUCCCUGGCCUGCAUGGUUUUAAUAAAUACUGAAAUUUCCAGGAAUGCAACUGCUAUGGAAAACCAGUGAAGAUGCUAUUUUUCUUCUGAACAUUAAUCUGCAAAAUCCAAUAUUUGGGGGAAAAAGUAUUAACAAACCAUAAAACUUUGAUCUUCUGCAAGGUGAUUUGAGAUUCCCAAGGUUUUGAAAAAAAAGAAAAGUAAACGUAUGGUGAAUUUGCUCAUU